UACUGUAUUUCCUUCUAAGACUCGGUCUCUUCAUGAAGCAUUUUUGAGGCUCUCUUCCUGUUAGUAACCACAUGGGAAAUGCCUUCCUAGAAGUGCCGUUCAGCACCUUUAAGGUGGAAAUGUUUUAGGCCUUUGAAGGUCUACAAGUACUUUACAAGCAGCUGGAUCAUGUAAGAUACCAGGAGGGUGAAGUGACUUAGCCAAGGUCUCAGCAAACCUGCAGCAAAGUCCAGCUCUUCUGCCGUCAGCCUGCAAGAUCACGUGUGACUCUGAGGAGUCAUUCAUAUUCUGAUUUGCCAUCAGAAUGUCUUCUACAGAGACAGGCAAAGAGAGAACAAGCAAUACCAGCUCGGGGAAGGCCAUGUGCGAGAAGCGAUUCCUGUGGGCUGCAAGAAAUCCUGCGAGGAGGCAGAGGAGGCAGGAGCUGAGGAAAGAAAGGAUGAGCUGGAAGCAAACAAGAACCCGGGGCCCUUCAUCAGAGACAGAGGUGCUGGCGACCGCCUCCUGCCCGGUGCCCCUUGGGGACAGCGCUGCUGCCAGUGCGCCAGCGCGGGGCUGCCCAGGAGCAGCAACCUUGGCCCACGGUGGGGUUUCGACGUUGCAGCCAGGCAGCCUGACCCCCAAGCAGCAAGGUAACAGACGUGGUUAUUAUAGCUGCCAGGGUCGCAAUUCAGAGGAGCUGAUGUCCUCUGGAUGCUUUGGGUCUGUGAUAUUAAAAAAAAAAAAAAAAAAAGCCCAAGUGAAUUAGGUCCCUGAAGACUCAACACUAAAUCACUGCCCUAGUCUCACCCUGAAGCUUUCAUCUCGUUUUAGCAGCCAGGAGAUGACUCCUUGCUGAACCUGCUUUGGCACUUCAGUGUUGAGGGUUUCAGAGGCCACGAAGUUUCCAGCCAUGCUGUCUCUGCUCCAGGGUGAAGCAAAGCCUCGGGACAGCUGCAUUUCUCAGCUGCUCAGACUGCUCCUACAAAAGCCAGCCCCAGGUUGGGCUGUAAAUAAGCUGAGGUGUAGCUGGAGUUUGCCACCAACUUUUGCUGAAAGGGGGAGGAGGACAGCACAAGCUCUAUUUGGCACCAGGCCUGCCUGAACAUCAGGUUUUCUGUUGCUUUUAACACAGCCUGUGUCAGAAAACGACUCUGACGUG
rnacentral:lncRNA from 1 species